AGGACGUUAGUUAAUUUAUAACAUUUAAAUUGCAUUUAAAAAUUAUAUAAAUUUAUAUAUAUAUACAUCUUU
rnacentral:tRNA from 1 species